GAUCAAUGUAGCAAAACUGACUCCUUCAAUUUGUCUUCUGACCUCCACAUUCACAUGAAAGACUCCCAAAGGGAGACUCUCCCUCAGACACUCAAGUCCCGGGACAGCCGCGUACCCAAGAAGACACUGAGACCA
rnacentral:pre_miRNA from 7 species